AGUGAACCGGAAACAGCUCAGCGUCGAAGCCGGCAGCCGAGAGGCGGUCGUGCAAUGUGACGUUUGGGAAGGCUCUAUGUCCGCGUGCAUCAUCGGUCCAAGUCUCCUGGAAAGGAGUCCCAUGGAGGGUGAGAGGCCCGUGCGGCCGAUUGGUGUGUUCACGGACGAGUCCUCCUUCGAGUCGGGUUGCUCGCUAAUGCAGCCCUAAGCAGGUGGUAAGCUCCAUCUAAAGCUAAAUACAACCACAAGUCCGAUAGUCAACAAGUACAGUGAUGGAAAGUUGAAAAGUACUCUGAAGAGAGAGUCAAAUAGCCCGUGAAGCUGCCCGUUAUGGGAUUAAGCGCACGUGUGACACGUGUCGUUCGACAAAUAGGCGUCGGUGGCCGGUUGAAUGUUGGAGUGUCGGCCGCGCCGCAAGGCGAGACCGCGCUUCGGCCUUGUGUGUGCCGGCCGCAGAGCGCUUCCCUUUGUUGGACAUUGACAGGUCGAGGCUUCGUUGCAAUUAUAUCGGUCCUAUUGCCGGUUGUCAUGUGCCGAGCCGAGCUCGGCUGGCGCCUGUUGCAAGACAGGCGUCGGCGCUGCGUCGACUGUGCGCCCUCGGGCGGCGGCGCCGAGUGCGGUUGGUGCUGUGAUGUACAGCUGUGAGUGCGAGAGACUGUGCGACGGCUAGCGCAACGCGACUCACGUCGCGACUCGGCCUUUGUGUCGUCACGUGCGGCCCGUCUUGAAACACGGACCAAGGAGUCUAACAUGUGAGCGAGCGAUUGAGAUUUUGACUAAUCUCAAACGCGCAAUGAAAGUGAAGUGCCGUCUGACGGCAUGAGCGGAGAUCCGCGCUCGGCAACGGGCGCGGCGCAACCGCGGGCCGCGCUAUCGGCUAGCUUGUCGGCUUGCCGGCACUGCUGAGGCGUGGACCUAGAGCCCACACGUUGGGACCCGAAAGAUGGUGAACUAUGCCUGGCCAGGAUGAAGCCAGGGGAAACCCUGGUGGAGGUCCGUAGCGAUUCUGACGUGCAAAUCGAUCGUCUGAGCUGGGUAUAGGGGCGAAAGACCAAUCGAACCAUCUAGUAGCUGGUUCCGCCCGAAGUUUCCCUCAGGAUAGCUGGCGCUUGUGUGAUACGGAGUUUCAUCCGGUAAAGCGAAUGAUCAGAGGACCUGGGCUUUUCUUUAGCUCAACCUAUUCUCAAACUUUCAAUGGGUGAGACGUCUCGCUGGCUUCACUGCAGCGACGACUCUGAAUCCGAGUGCCCAGUGGGCCACUUUUGGUAAGCAGAACUGGCGAUGCGGGAUGAACCGCAUGUCGAGUUAAGGUGCCUAAGCGAACGCUAAUCAGAUACCAUGAAAGGUGUUGAUUGCUCACGACAGCAGGACGGUGGCCAUGGAAGUCGGCAUCCGCUAAGGAGUGUGUAACAACUCACCUGCCGAAGCAAUCAGCCCUGAAAAUGGAUGGCGCUACAGCGUUCCACCGAUACUCGACCGUCGUCGGCAUGCGACGCGCUUGCGCGUCUUACGCCACGACGAGUAGGGCGGCGCGGCGGUGAGCGUUGAAGGCGUAGCCGUGAGGCUAGCUGGAGCCGCCGUCGGUGCAGAUCUUGGUGGUAGUAGCAAAUACACAAGCAAGAUCCUUGUGGACCGAUGUGGAGAAGGGUUCCGCGCGAACAGUACUUGGACGUGGGUGAGUCGGCCCUAAGCCGACGGGUAAUUCCCGCAUCCCCGAUGAAUCUUU
rnacentral:rRNA from 1 species